rnacentral:rRNA from 1 species
GAAACCUUUACACUGCACGCCAGUGCGAUAAGGGGACUCCGAGUGCGAGGCAUAUCGUCCUCGCUUUGUGUACCGUAGGGCGGUACACGAAUAGAGCUGGGCAAGACCGGUGCCAGCCGCCGCGGUAAUACCGGCAGCUCAAGUGAUGCCCAAUCUUAUUGGGCCUAAAGCGUCCGUAGCUGGCCUCGAAAGUCCGUCGGGAAAUCCACUGGCUCAACCAGUGGGCGUCCGGCGGAAACUUCGAGGCUUGGGACCGGAAGGCUCGAGAGGUACGUCCGGGGUAGGAGUGAAAUCCCGUAAUCCCGAACGGACCACCGAUGGCGAAAGCAUCUCGAGAAGACGGAUCCGACAGUGAGGGACGAAAGCUAGGGUCUCGAACCGGAUUAGAUACCCGGGUAGUCCUAGCCGUAAACGAUGUUCGCUAGGUGUGGCACAGGCUACGCGCCUGUGCUGUGCCGUAGGGAAGCCGAGAAGCGAACCGCCUGGGAAGUACGUCUGCAAGGAUGAAACUUAAAGGAAUUGGCGGGGGAGCACUACAACCGGAGGAGCCUGCGGUUUAAUUGGACUCAACGCCGGACAUCUCACCAGCUCCGACUACAGUAAUGACGGUCAGGUUGAUGACCUCAUCACGAGCUGUAGAGAGGAGGUGCAUGGCCGCCGUCAGCUCGUACCGUGAGGCGUCCUGUUAAGUCAGGCAACGAGCGAGACCCGCACUCCUAAUUGCCAGCAGCAGUUUCGACUGGCUGGGUACAUUAAGAGGACUGCCAGUGCCAAACUGGAGGAAGGAACGGGCAACGGUAGGUCAGUAUGCCCCGAAUGAGCUGGGCUACACGCGGGCUACAAUGGUCAAGACAAUGGGUCGCAACCUCGAAAGAGGGCGCUAAUCUCCGAAACUUGAUCGUAGUUCGGAUUGUGGGCUGAAACUCGCCCACAUGAAGCUGGAUUCGGUAGUAAUCGCAUUUCACAAGAAUGCGGUGAAUACGUCCCUGCUCCUUGCACACACCGCCCGUCAAAGCACCCGAGUGAGGUCCGGAUGAGGCUGUGUCACCACAGUCGAAUC